GGCGAUGUAGCUCAGUGGUAGAGCACUUGCCUAGCGUGCAUGAGGCUGUGGGUUUGAUCCCCAGCACACCA
rnacentral:tRNA from 1 species